rnacentral:piRNA from 1 species
UGAGAAGGGAAUAUCUGCCAGCCUCAGAU